rnacentral:rRNA from 1 species
AUGUCCAGCAAUAGCUCCGCCUCGUCUCGGUUCGCGCGGUGCAGGAGACCGCCUCUCCCCUACUCCGAGAACCCGCUGGAGUACGAGCCAGCUGUUUUUUGCAGCUGCGGCGCUAAGGCAGCCCGGCUGACGUCCUGGACAGACGCCAACCCCGGCCGGAGAUACAUGUCCUGCUCACGGGCGACGGGUUGCCCUCUCCCUCACUGGCGCUGGCUUGAUCCCAAGCCGAGCGCGUACAUGCGUGAGCUUCUUGUGGGUCUUCGCGACAGGAUCCGUGUGCUGGAGGAGGACAACGAUGUACUCAGCAGUCCCGCCUUCCGAGGCAACGUUUCUGACCAACACCAUGACCGGCGUUGGGGGUGCCGUCUAGGCGCCGCUUUGGUCUUGGUGCUGUUAUUCGCUCUAGCUGGCUUUGCCUCCCGCCUACCGGUGGUCUGA